GACGAACGCUGGCGGCGUGCCUAAUACAUGCAAGUCGAACGCAGUGGGGACGGGAGAGUAACACGUGGGUAACCUCCCAUCAAAGGGGAUAACACUUGGAAAAUAGCGCUAAACCGAUAUUGAUGGAGGGACCUGGUGUGCAUUAGCUAGUUGGUGAGGUAACGGCUCACCAAGGCAACGAUGCAUAGCCGACCUGAGAGGGUGACCGGCCACACUGGGACUGAGACACGGCCCAGACUCCUACGGGAGGCAGCAGUGGGGAAUCUUGGGCAAUGGGCGAAAGCCUGAUCGAGCAACGCCGCGUGAAUGAAGAAGGUCUUCGGAUUGUAAAACUCUGUUGUUAGAGAAGCGGUAUCUAACCAGAAAGCCACGGCUAACUACGUGCCAGCAGCCGCGGUAAUUC
rnacentral:rRNA from 1 species